rnacentral:rRNA from 1 species
AACGAACGCUGGCGGCAUGCCUAACACAUGCAAGUCGAACGAGAUCUUCGGGUCUAGUGGCGCACGGGUUCGUAACGCGUGGGAAUCUGCCCUUUGGUUCGGAAUAACAGUUGGAAACGACUGCUAAUACCGGAUGAUGACGAAAGUCCAAAGAUUUAUCGCCAGAGGAUGAGCCCGCGUAGGAUUAGAUAGUUGGUGGGGUAAAGGCGCACCAAGGCGACGAUCCUUAGCUGGCAUGAGAGGAUGAUCAGGCACACUGGGACUGAGACACGGCACAGACUCCUACGGGAGGCAGCAGUGGGGAAUAUUGGACAAUGGGCGAAAGCCUGAUCCAGCAAUGCCGCGUGAGUGAUGAAGGCCUUAGGGUUGUAAAGCUCUUUUACCCGGGAUGAUAAUGACAGUACCGGGAGAAUAAGCUCCGGCUAACUCCGUGCCAGCCGCCGCGGUAA